AUCGCAGAGCAGGGGUGGUGGCAAGCACGGGAACGCUAAUAGAAGUAAGUGAUGAUGAUGACAUGGUGCAGGGCAAACGAUGGCCCACAGGCAAAGUCAGGCCCACUGCCUGUGUUUGCCAAUGAAGUUUUAUUGGAACACAGCUGCCCUCACUCAUUUACAUAUGGUCUGUGGCGGGUUUUGUGCUGCAAGGGCAGACUGGAGUAGUAGUUGCCUGGCUCACAAAGCUGAAAAUAUUUAUGAUCUGGCCUUGUAUAGAAAAAGUUUGGGGAAUAUUACAAAGGUCUCGAGAAGAGGAAAAAUGAGGCAAGAAAAAGCUAGUACUAGAUCCACGCUAUUGGGAUUUGACUCUGGUUCCAUCAUUGCCUGACUAUGUGCCUUUGAGCAACUCAACUUUUCUGACCUCAACUAUCUCACCUGGUCACGGGGAUAUGAGUUCUUCUAUCAUCAGUUUGCUGUGAGGAUUACACGAAAUGCUCUGCGUAAAGUGCUGGCACAGUGCCUGACAUAAAGCCAGGGCUCGAGACAUGUCAUAGGCCAUCAUUACCUGCAGCCAUAAAGAUGAUGGUUUUUUGGUUAAAGUAUUGUUGGCUGAGGUAGAAAGAUUUUGUGUGUGCCGUGAAACCCUGUGGUUCGACGCUAGUGCUUUGUCCCCUGGGACAUUCUCAUUGUAAUCCAUGGUGAUGCAGCUGGAAUAGCCCAGCAGUUUUGAUGUGAUUGAGGACCUCCCCAUUGCCUCUCCAGUGACUCACAGCUCCACAUCACAACCAAAGUCUCACACAUUUUCCUCUUUGUCAAGACCCUCACCGUUUUCCCACAGUCAAGUGUGUUCUCUCACUCAAUCACUCAUUCACUUGUGUCUGCUUAGAAUUUCUGGAUUUUCUCAGGAGACAUUAGCUGUGGGGACCGCAUUGCUAGGCAGCUGCCACUUCAUCUCUCCUUUUCUCAUCCCAGGUCACUCUUCAUCAUCUAGUGCAUAACAUGGGAUGGCGUUGGCAGAAGAAACCUUUUCAGAAAUAAAUCUGAAAUCAGUGAAAAUACUUGUGGCUGCAAAUCAGAGAAAAUCCAACUAAAUUUGGCUAAAAGAAGGGAAACCAGCUGUUAUUUUGUGAGCUACCCAUGUGACAAGGAGCUGACGUCUCCAGCCAAUAAUUAGUGAGCACCUGCGGCCACCAACAGCCAAGUGAGUGAUCUUGAAAGUGGGUCCUUCCUAAAUGAGGCUUGAGAUGACUGCGGCGUGUGGGACCCUGAGCCGAGGACCCGCCUUAGCUGGACCUGGAUUCCUGACCCACAGAAACUGUGAGGAACUACCUUUCCCAGACUCCCUCACCCGCCAGCUUCUUGCUGGGUUUGGCUAAUGGAAGGCACUGGCAGAAGGUGGGGAGUGGGGGACCAUGAAGAGCCUGGAGUUUUUCAAUCCUUCUCUGCCCAGCUCCGCCUGGCUUCUGAGUUCUGGUAACACCGUCUUCUCCCUGUCCCUCCAGCCCUAGGCUUGGUAGCACCUUCUUGCUGGUGCUGCUUUCCCAGUGGACUCCUUCCUUCCUGUCCCAUGUAGCUCCUCAGCUCUGCCAUUUCUUCUGUAACUGAUUCUUUGUAUUAGAUUUCCUCAGACGGAAGCACCUAGAGUGGUGUCU